GUCCUUUAUUUGCAUCAUAACAGUGUCAGCUCAUCUAUUUGUAAGGAUUCUGAACUGAUGAAAUGAGGGUUUCUAAAAAAAAAACCUUGAUUUUGAAAAUAACAUGAAUUUAUUACAGAAACAUUAAAGGGACACUCCAAGCACCAUAUCCAUCCAGUAUGAAGUACGUUCUCUCAGUAAGGUAGGCAUUGGGUUUUAUUAGUAAAAGGUGGCCCCCCCUCAAUUUGCUCGGGGUUCAUGCAUGCACAGGUGGAUGGGAUAGAGAGGCUAGAUAGAAAUACGGACACACAAACAGAGAUAGAUGGAUGGGUAAGUGUGUGGGUGGAUGGAUAGAUGAUAGAUAGAUAGACAGAGAGGUAGAUAGAUAGAUAACGAAAGAGAGAGAGACGAUAGACAGACAGACAGAUAGGUAGAUAGAUAGAUAACGAAAGAGAGAGAGACGAUAGAUAGAUAGACAGACAGAUAGAUAGAUAACGAGAGAGAAAGAGGAAGAUAGAUAGAUAGACAGACAGAUACUAUAGUUACAGAUAGAUGAUAGAUAGAUAAAUAGAUAGAAGGGUAGAUAGAUACAUAGGUGGGUGGAUGGAUACCCUUGGCGAUAGAUAGAUAGAUAGACAGACAGACAGACACAUAGAUAGAAAGAUAGAUAGAUAGAGAGAUAGACAGACAGACAGACAGACAGACACAUAGAGAGAUAGACAGACAGACACAUAGAUAGAUAAAUAUAUAGUCAGACAGACAUAUAGAUAGAGAGAUAGACAGACAGACAGAUAGAUAGACAGACACACAUAGAUAUAUAGCUAGAUAGAUAGACAUACAGAUAGAUAGACAGACAGACACAUAGAUAGAUAGACAGACAGACACAUAGAUAGAUAUAGAUAGAUAGAUAAACAGAGAGAG